rnacentral:lncRNA from 1 species
GCAGCUCGGCUGGGAGACGGCGCGAGCCGGCGGCGGGGCCCCCCGCGAGUCCAGCGCCGCCGCAGCCCCCCAAUGCGGCCGCGAGAAGCAGCUGGGGGGCAGGCGAUCGAAGCAGCCUCUGGAAGUGUCGCCUAGUGAUUAUGAAGACACCUUUGUCCUUUCUGGAGCGAUGCUGACCUGGACCCAUUCUGACUCAGGUAAUCACUCUCUCUCCUGGUCCUUCCCCAGCCACCAAACCUCAGUAGAUCGAGGAAAUCAAUGAAAUACCACAGCUAUAUUUAUAUGCAAAUACCAAGUUGAUUGUCUCCCCCCUCCCCCAUUGCUGUUCUUCCUCCAAUCUUCUUUUUUUUUUUUUUUUAAGAUUUUAUUAUUUCAUGUAUGUGGGUACACUGUCGAUGUCUUCAGAGACACCAGAAGAGGGCAUUGGAUAUGGUUGCUGGGAUUUGAACUCAGGACCUCUGGAAGAGCAGUCAGUGCUCUUUAACCACUGAGCCAUCUCUCCAGCCGUCCUCCAAUCUUCUUAAUGAUCCGUUUACGCUGCUGAUAGACUGACAAGGUGGUCAAUCCAGCUUAGGCAUUAAGAUAAUUGGAAGACCUUGAGUCACAUCUUUAUUUAAAAUUCUGUGUGUCUUGGACCCAUGAGACCACACGAACAUUGCUGGGAAUUUUCAUGUGGAGACAGACUAGAACCUAAGUAGUGCCUCCACUAUGUUCAUCACCACCUUUCCCAGAAUGCCAUGUGCAACUGUCUUCCUCCUUCCGAUGUUGUCCCAGUUGUGUCCAGAGGAGAGUUCUGAGUGUCCGUUUUCUGUGCUUGGGGCAGAUUGGGUGAGGAAGCACAAGGCAGUUUUCCAAUCUUCAGGGAUUGCUCAGGAAUGCCAGGUUCACAGUUCAUGGCAGGCGGAAGGGCUCCGUGUGGAGCAGGGGCUGGUCACUCAGUACAGGACUCUGCUUCAGAGAACCCACAGACUUCCAGAUCGGAGGAUGAAGUGACUGUCAAAGGGAUUUGUGAGGGUAGAAGCAUCUCAGAUGACUUAGUCUCUGAGGAUCACUCAGCCAGGCAGAGAGAGGUAGGAAGGAGGACAUGACACUUAGGCAGGAAGGCAGGGCUGAGCCCUCAGUGUGCCCAGAGGAUGCACAGCUGUCUAAUCCCUCGUCUCUGUCCCAGCCAAAGUCAGAGUUCCCCUCAAGGCCUGGGCUGCCUAAGAUCCUGGAGUAGAGCUACUUGGGAGAAACGCCAUCCUGUGACCAAGGGGGUUUGCCUGGGGACAGCACCACUGUUGUAUAGCUUUGGCAUGGUGCUUUUUCCUGCACUCCUCUCUCCAAAGCUCACCCCUCCAUCCUCGACGUGCUUUGGAUUACCUACAGCCUGAUGAGAGGCCCUGGAUGAAACAGACACUGUGCAGGGCCAGUACCUGGCCUUCAAAGGUGACAUUUUCAAGCUAAGGUU